AAAAACAAAUAAUCCAGAUUGGCUGGAUUCAACCUAGGCUCAAAAAAUGAACAAAACAAAAACCAAAUAAAAUCUAUCUAUAAAUCCAAGAUAUGGAGAGUUAACUAUUUGUCUUCAUUCAUUAUUUCCAAGAUCAAAUCGAUCGUCUCUUUUCUUCUAAUGACGAGACAAAGAUGGAGAAUUCCAAACUAUAUUCUCUAUGUUGAGGCUCUAAUCCUAAAUCUACACUUUAUCGAGUUUGAGGUAUUUUUACGCAAUUAAUUCAAAAUUCUCACAAAUGUCAUGUGAACCAGCUCAAUAAAGACUUUUUCGACUAAAUAGAGGCCAAUCUGAUAAGCUCAAGGGUACAUCAUAGAGUUUCUCUUCCUUUUUUGUCUACUUUUGUUAGGAUCUAAACUCUCUUUCAUAUUUCUUGAUGUGUGCAGUUUAGUUGCAGAGUAAAAUGUAUAAAUAAGUUCCUUGAUGAUAUGUAUUGCCAUUCCAUUGAAUUGAUAUUUAGUUUCCCCAUAUUUAUUGUUUUCCAAGAGAAUGAGCUUACUAUGAAGCUGAUACCACCUCUUGAGAUUCAAAAAGGAUUGUGGCUUAUAUAUGCUAACAUAUGUUGAGUGUCUUACUUUUGGUGAAGAUGUUCCAUCUGUUGGUUUUGACCCAGAUCUUAUUCGCACAAGAUAUGCUUUACUUUUGUGGGAUUAUGGUUCGACGAAAGAAGAAGUGAAGGCACAAAGUGAUGAUGGAGCACCAAUGAGGCCUUCUUGAAAAAUUAGGAUAACAGAAGACACUGAAGUGCAUGAUCUUUGAUGUGUAUUUUUAUUUUGUUGAAGUUUACAACAGUUAACAUUAGGUGGAUAAACAAUAUGUUGAAUAUUUCUUAAGUUUCAUAUGUUACUUUAAUAUUCAAAGAUGAUAUAUUAAUGUUUAUUUACUGUUAUAUUAAGAUUUUUGAUGUUUAAUCUUU